GACGAACGCUGGCGGCGUGCCUAAUACAUGCAAGUCGAGCGGACUUAAAAAGCUUGCUUUUUAAGUUAGCGGCGGACGGGUGAGUAACACGUGGGCAACCUGCCUGUAAGACUGGGAUAACUUCGGGAAACCGGAGCUAAUACCGGAUAAUCCUUUUCUACUCAUGUAGAAAAGCUGAAAGACGGUUUACGCUGUCACUUACAGAUGGGCCCGCGGCGCAUUAGCUAGUUGGCGAGGUAACGGCUCACCAAGGCGACGAUGCGUAGCCGACCUGAGAGGGUGAUCGGCCACACUGGGACUGAGACACGGCCCAGACUCCUACGGGAGGCAGCAGUAGGGAAUCUUCCGCAAUGGACGAAAGUCUGACGGAGCAACGCCGCGUGAGUGAUGAAGGUUUUCGGAUCGUAAAACUCUGUUGUUAGGGAAGAACAAGUACGAGAGUAACUGCUCGUACCUUGACGGUACCUAACCAGAAAGCCACGGCUAACUACGUG
rnacentral:rRNA from 1 species